UACAGAGGGUGCAAGCGUUGUUCGGAAUUAUUGGGCGUAGAGCGCGUGUAGGCGGCUUUGCAAGUCGGGUGUGAAAGCCCUCGGCUCAACCGAGGAAGUGCGCCCGAAACUGCAGAGCUUGAGUACCGGAGAGGGUGGCGGAAUUCCCCAAGUAGAGGUGAAAUUCGUAGAUAUGGGGAGGAACACCGGUGGCGAAGGCGGCCACCUGGACGGAUACUGACGCUGAGACGCGAAAGCGUGGGUAGCAAACAGG
rnacentral:rRNA from 1 species